rnacentral:rRNA from 1 species
GACGUAGGGCGCGAGCGUUGUCCGGAUUUAUUGGGCGUAAAGAGCUCGUAGGCGGUUUGUCGCGUCGUCCGUGAAAACUCACAGCUUAACUGUGAGCUUGCGGUCGAUACGGGCAGGCUAGAGUUCGGUAGGGGAGACUGGAAUUCCUGGUGUAGCGGUGAAAUGCGCAGAUAUCAGGAGGAACACCGGUGGCGAAGGCGGGUCUCUGGACAUUUCCUGACGCUGAGGCACGAAAGCCAGGGGAGCAAACGGG